AGUGAACGCUGGCGGUAGGCCUAACACAUGCAAGUCGAACGGCAGCACAGUAAGAGCUUGCUCUUACGGGUGGUGAGUGGCGGACGGGUGAGGAAUACAUCGGAAUCUACUUUUUCGUGGGGGAUAACGUAGGGAAACUUACGCUAAUACCGUAUACGACCUACGGGUGAAAGCAGGGGAUCUUCGGACCUUGCGCGAUUGAAUGAGCCGAUGUCGGAUUAGCUAGUUGGCGGGGUAAAGGCCCACCAAGGCGACGAUCCGUAGCUGGUCUGAGAGGAUGAUCAGCCACACUGGAACUGAGACACGGUCCAGACUCCUACGGGAGGCAGCAGUGGGGAAUAUUGGACAAUGGGCGCAAGCCUGAUCCAGCCAUACCGCGUGGGUGAAGAAGGCCUUCGGGUUGUAAAGCCCUUUUGUUGGGAAAGAAAAGCAGCAGGUUAAUACCCCGCUGUUCUGACGGUACCCAAAGAAUAAGCACCGGCUAACUUCGUG
rnacentral:rRNA from 1 species